rnacentral:rRNA from 1 species
AUACGUAGGUGACAAGCGUUAUCCGGAUUUACUGGGCGUAAAGGGCGUGUAGGCGGUCUUGCAAGUCAGAAGUGAAAUUCCUGAGCUCAACUCGGGCGCUGCUUCUGAAACUGCAGGACUUGAGUGCUGGAGGGGAUAGCGGAAUUCCUAGUGGAGCGGUAAAAUGCGCAGAUAUUAGGAAGAACACCGGUGGCGAAGGCGGGUAUCUGGACAGUAACUGACGCUGGGGCGCGAAAGCGUGGGGAGAAAACAGGAUUAGAUACCCGGGUGGUCCACGCCGUAAACGAUGAAUACUAGGUGUAGGGGGUAUCGACUCCCUCUGUGCCGCAGUUAACACAAUAAGUAAUCCGCCUGGGGAGUACGGCCGCAAGGUUGAAACUCAAAGGAAUUGACGGGG